ensembl:lncRNA
GUCUUGUUCUCUGAGCCCCCGACCAGUAGAGGGGGGAGAUGUGUUUAUACUAGGAGAUGUUUGUGUCAGGGGUUCGUGAGGUAGAGGGGCAGUUUUUAUGGCUGGGUGCAUGUGUUCAUGCGAUGGAAUGUCUUUGUUUCCUGGGGUCGGGAGACAACCAAGCUGAGGGGAUGGUUUUAGGGGGGUAGUUUUAUUGCUGGCUGUGUGAGCUAGUUCCUGCUUUAGCAAGGGUACGUAAGAUGACUUGAGUCAGGCGGUUUAGCUUAGCGCUGUAUACAAUAUGAGUUAUGUGUAUGAAUAUUUAUAUAACAAGGGUGAAAGGAUAGCAGCCCCAGCUGUCAGUGAGAGAGGAGGCUAUUCUGGAUAGGGCAGGUACUUUUGUAGUUCCAGUCCCUAGAAGUCAGGACAGAGAUAAUAGUAACAUAAUAUUCAGUGUGGUGUAUUUUGACUAUAAUGAAGUCUGUUUCUUGUGAGGUUUUUCUGUCCUCAGAAAAAUAGAGCUGUAAAAUCCUAUCUACAUAUGAAGAGGUCCCAAUGAAGAGCAGUGGUUCUCAGUCCUGGGGACUCAGAGGGGCACAUUGUUGUUUUUUCCUCAGCACUGCUCAGCUGAUUCAAAUGAUCAACUCAUCAUCAAGCUUCAAGUGGUAUUUAUGUAUUCAUUUGUGAUGUUAUCCUUGACAUGAUCCUGCUAUUGUCACAUAUUACACAUAUCAAUCCAAUGUUAUUUUGAUUUGUUAUCAGGGAUAUUAUAUACUUUAGUAAUCCACAAUGACCUGGUGAUGUAAAAGUCUAAUAAUUACAUUGUCUUCCAUAUUCCAACAGAUACUUUGUAACUGGGGAUACCUUCAAAACGAUUGCCUACAUUUACCAUGUAGGGCACAAAAAGGUUGGGUGACCAGGGCCAUCUGGGACUGCCUCCUGGAGUGAUUCAGGCGUGUGAAGGCUACCUGUGUCCUGCAUAACUUCAUGAGGAUGGACACGAGGACCAGGAUGGGAUAAGAUUCCUGUUGAACACUGUACAUUUAACUUCCUUAUUUUCUCACUAACAGUCUCUCCCCUUUUCCCUAAAUCCUCUAGGUUAUAUCAGCUGUGUCGGUGAACCCCUCCCGCAUCUGAACUGGCUAGAGGGCACAGCAUGAUCAGAGGUAUGUUUUGAUGUGAGAGAGGAUGCCAACCCCCAGUCAUCGCCACCUCACCUGCUCUUAAGAUAAACUUUGGUCCGACUGGGAGCCCAAGGCUGGUUAGGAGACACAACUAGAGAAACUAUUAUAGAAUUGUGAUGAACUGAGAGAAUAUUAGGGUAGCACUGCGAUUCAUUAAUCAUAUGCUGUCUUCCCUGCUCUUACCUCUUUCUCUGUCUUUUACACCUCUUCUUUCUUCCUCUGUUUUUAUAAUGAACACCAGAUGAGCAUUGAAGUACAGAUUGAACUUGUAUUUAUAAUAUAUUAUAUUUAUAAUGCAUGUAUUAUGUAUUUAUAACACCUGGAUAAUGA